ACAGCAGUAGCCGCGGUAACACGUAGGUGGCAAGCGUUGUCCGGAAUUAUUGGGCGUAAAGGGCUCGCAGGCGGUUUCUUAAGUCUGAUGUGAAAGCCCCCGGCUCAACCGGGGAGGGUCAUUGGAAACUGGGAAACUUGAGUGCAGAAGAGGAGAGUGGAAUUCCACGUGUAGCGGUGAAAUGCGUAGAGAUGUGGAGGAACACCAGUGGCGAAGGCGACUCUCUGGUCUGUAACUGACGCUGAGGAGCGAAAGCGUGGGGAGCGAACAGGAUUAGAUACCCCAGUAGUCCCUGUCUCUUAUAC
rnacentral:rRNA from 1 species